UACGGAGGGGGCUAGCGUUAAUCGGAAUUACUGGGCGUAAAGCGCGCGUAGGCGGCUUUGCAAGUCGGGUGUGAAAUCCCCAGGCUUAACCUGGGAACUGCAUUCGAGACUGCAUUGCUAGAGUAUGGGAGAGGGAAGUGGAAUUUCCGGUGUAGCGGUGAAAUGCGUAGAUAUCGGAAGGAACAUCAGUGGCGAAAGCGACUUCCUGGACCAAUACUGACGCUCAUGUGCGAAAGCGUGGGGAGCAAACAGG
rnacentral:rRNA from 1 species